AGAAGAGACCAUGAGCUCUAUGGUGUGAUUUCAAAUCUGCUUUUUGGCAACAAAUCCACACGCAAUGCUAAUCGAGCUCUGGAGCUGCCUGCGCUGGAUGACACAGCAGAAAGUGAAAGAGCUGACAGGGACCUUCUCCACAUCUGCAGGCUGCAACAUGGACUGCCAGACCUGCUGCCUCAUUGACUGCAAUAAGGGUCACUACUACACAGCUGGCAACUGCCUGGAGUGCCCUGUCGGAUUUUACUGUCCCGGAGGUCGAGCAGCUCCUCGGAAAUGCCCAGUGGGAACAGCCAAUCGGCUCACAGCUCAAGCGGAU
rnacentral:lncRNA from 1 species